GAUUAAAUGGCUGAAGUAAUAGGCAAUAGAUUGUAAAUUUAUUUAUGGGAAUAUUUCUCUUUAAUCA
rnacentral:tRNA from 1 species